GCGUUGUCAAGUACACUCCUAUGGCCGAGUAGAGAAUCGAGGUCUCAGGCGGUGGAGCAUUACAGAGGUGUCAUGGCGGGGGGAUACGCCACCUCCGGCAGGAGGGAAGCAUCUACUACGUCACUGUCCAGGACAUCAUUGAUGCCAAGAAGCCAAUCAGUGCGAGCGGCAAUGGGAGCCUGGAAAGACACCGUGUUGUCCAGCCUUCACAAGGCCUCCUAAUUGUCACACAUCUAGUUACACUCGCAAUCUGUCUGUGACACGCUUUAUAUAUAUACACUACUAAGGGGUUGUAUGUUGCUGUCUGUUUACAUACGCAGCCAAAGAAACCCAUACACUACGUAGAUAGGUAGGUAUGUCGGUCGGUUUACAUGCACACACAUUAGAGGAUGACAUUUGUCAGGAAUUCCCGUGGGUCCCGCGGGAUGGGAGUAAAAAUGUUAAAGAUGAACGGCAGCGGG